rnacentral:lncRNA from 1 species
UCGGACAGCUGUUCUUUCUGAGUUCUAUGUGAGGGAGGAAAAACCAGCGUGUGCUGCUCUGUAGCCGGGAGAAUGGUCCUCCUCUGAGACCCAGAGGAUGCAAGCGCCCCCGACUCAGAUGUGCAGCUAAUGAGAAUAAGGCGCUCAUUACUUGAAGAUUGCAUUGUUGAUCAACAUAAUGCUGGUGCCAAAUGCUUGGUAAGUCUGUGGGAUUUCUAAAUGCACAGAGAAAGACAUGGGAUAAGCUCUAUAAACAGCACUGGACAGCUGCUGCUAUGGGUAAACUGAGGCACAAAGGCAUUGAUAAGAAUCCACCCAAGGUCCCGGUCACUUUGCAAUAGAACCCAUUUCUUAGGCACGUGCCUUUUCUUAAUACUAUCACAUAGCAUGUGCUAUAAGGAAAACUCUAGUGAUCCAAUAAUACCCGCAGAACAUGGGUUUGAGGCCUGCAUAUGGGUGCUGAAGUUAAUUUGAAUUAGAUGGAGGAGUAGAUGGGGCGAGCCUGGGACCA